UAGGCAGGGGCGGAUCCAGGAUUUCAGAUUAGGGGGGGCGCAAUGUCAAAAUUUCGCCGAGCGGAGCGAGGCGAAAAUUUUUUUGAGGUAUAAUUAUCGAAAUUAUUGGAAUAUUCUUCUAAAGAGGGUGUAAUGUAGAUAUCUUGCAUGGCAAGCAAAACGUGGCGAAUAUUUUGUGUUAAAAUAAGCGAGAAAUUAAAGUUUCAAGCUAAAACCGAUAAAUCACCCCUGUCAAUCUACAAUCACCAUAAUAAACAAGAAAUGUGCGAGUUUCAAUUCAUUGACUCAACAAUAGCUCAACUGACCAAUAUUAGAUUUAAAAAAAAAACGGUCUACUUUUGCCAGCGAUUUUUCAUUGUCUUUUCACAAUUUUUUAUUAUUAUUAUUUUUUGUUGUUUUCGGAGGUCGUGCCAAACUUUUUAUGUACAUUUUUUUUUACAGCAAACCACUAAAUUCAAAAUGAGAUCUUUAUUUUCAUGGGAUCCUAUAUGUAAUACGGAAAUACGAGUUGGAGCCUUGAUCGUUUAUGCAUGCUUCGGCAAACUUUACAGGUUGCAAUUAAGUGAGAAACAUAUAUUGAUACAGAUAUAUUAAAUAUUGAUACAAAUUAAUAAAACUAACCUUUCGCUUGAACCAGUAUUUCUAUCUUUCAUUAAGAAAGAAUUUAACCAGUUACCUUGACUGUUUUCUUCGCUGUGCAAUGAUGAAAUACCCAAC
rnacentral:lncRNA from 1 species